UCAGCCAUCAGACCAUUUCCUCCAUCUCUCAGCUGCCGCUGCCUCCUCCGCGGACGCUGCCCUCUCUCCGACGCCAAUGUCGCGAACUACUACGACCUGCAGUAGACGCCACCGCCACUGCUAGCCUCCACCACCGCUGGUAAGUCUCCCUUCGAUUUUUUUUUUAUUUAUUUCUUCUCCUAAUCUCUAAAAUCAAACUGGAUGGCUCAGAUCUGGACGGAUUCGCUCUCUUGAAUGUAUAUAUAAUGAUCUGUGUCGAAUGGUAGAAUUUGGGGUUUGAUUUUAGGGUUUUGUAUUUUUUUGUUUUUGUUUGUUUGUUUGUGAGGAUUUAAAAAGGCGUUUGGAGAUAAAACAUAUAUUUCGAUUGUUCCAAUGGCGUCUGCUCAGGUUCAAUGGAAGCAAGAGAAUUUGGAAGCUGGAAAAAAGAAGAUCAAAGUUGCAGGGAGCUUUUGUUUUCUUAAGGUAUAUUGGUCGUGUAGCAAGGAUUCUAGAAUUCUACCAGCAGGAUUCCUUGGAGUCUAGCCAAGUGGAAUUUGUAACUCGUUGAAUUUCAAACAUUGUCUUUUGUCCUAUUUUGAUCUUCAAGACAAUAACCUUGGAAUUGUCCAGCAAGUUGUGUCAUCCAUGUAUAAACACAAUAUUAAGAGAUUGACUCAAACAUACCUCACCAUUUCCCUCGAAGACAUUUCUAUCAUGGUCCAACUAAGUAGUUCGAAGGAGGCUGGAAUGCACGUGCUUCAAAUGGUAUGAAUAAGGGUGCUAUUCAUGAUACUUUAAUUUGGGGUUUCAUAGUAUUAAGUAUUCUAUGCCAACACCUGAUUUACAUCAACUAGGGGUGUGCAAACCCGAAUAAACCGUCGGGUCAACCUGACCCAUUCGGGUAAAUUAACCAUUUCGAACCGAACCGGCACCCGACUUCUUAAAACCGAACCAGCCUAGCCAUUUGAACGGUUAAAUGAAGUCAGUUUGGGUCUCGUGUUUGCCCACCCGACCCGUCCGACAACCCGAUGAAGCCUAGGGUUAGAAUGGAUGUAUAUUAAACGGCGUCGUGUCCCUAGUUUAUAUAUAUGAUCCUUUGUACGCUGCGCAGCCUUCACUCUCUCAUAGACCUAAUCUCAUUCUCUGAUUUCUCUCUCGACUCUCAACUUUCAACCUUGGGUUUCUCAGUUCUCCCGUUCUCUCAACUCUCAAGUCUCAAUCUUUGAGAGUUGAGACUGAGAAUCUCCGAUUCUCCGGUGGAAGCUUUUUCUCUGAGUUCUCUCAAGUCUCAAUCUCUGAGAUUCUGAUAGUCCGGUGGAAGUCCUUUCUCUGAUUCUGUCUUCGAUAUUCUCUGGGGUCUCACCGUCUCAGGCUCUCAGCUGUUCUGGUGUUCUCUUUGACUCUUUGUGAGUCUGUGGUGGAAGCUUUGUGGCGGAGGCUUUGUUCAGUUGUUGACUGACUCACUUGUGGACAGCUGGACCGCUGGACGCCUGGACGUUGCUUGAAGGCCCUUGUUCUCCGGGUAAUUUGUGUGAGAAAAGAAGUAAAUCUCCAACCCUAUUUAUGAUUUGUGAUUCUUGUGAACUUGUGAGUUGUGAUAAUGUGAUAUAUUAUGAAUAUUUGAAACUGUUAUGAUUUUUGACUUUGUG